GACGAACGCUGGCGGCGUGCUUAACACAUGCAAGUCGAACGAUGAAGCCCUUCGGGGUGGAUUAGUGGCGAACGGGCGAGUAACACGUGGGCAAUCUGCCCUGCACUCUGGGACAAGCCCUGGAAACGGGGUCUAAUACCGGAUACGACCUGCCUCCGCAUGGUGGCGGGUGGAAAGCUCCGGCGGUGCAGGAUGAGCCCGCGGCCUAUCAGCUUGUUGGUGAGGUAAUGGCUCACCAAGGCGACGACGGGUAGCCGGCCUGAGAGGGCGACCGGCCACACUGGGACUGAGACACGGCCCAGACUCCUACGGGAGGCAGCAGUGGGGAAUAUUGCACAAUGGGCACAAGCCUGAUGCAGCGACGCCGCGUGAGGGAUGACGGCCUUCGGGUUGUAAACCUCUUUCAGCAGGGAAGAAGCGUGAGUGACGGUACCUGCAGAAGAAGCGCCGGCUAACUACGUGCCAGCCGCCGCGGUAACAC
rnacentral:rRNA from 1 species